rnacentral:rRNA from 1 species
UACAGAGGAGCCAAGCGUUGUCCGGAUUGACUGGGCGUAAAGCGCACGCAGGCGGACGCGCGCGUGGGGUGUGAAAUCUGGCCGCUUAACGGCCAGGGGCCAUCCCAUACGGCGGGUCUGGAGCGAUGCAGAGGUCGGUGGAAUUUACGGUGUAGCGGUGAAAUGCGUAGAUAUCGGAAGGAAGACCAGUGGCGAAGGCGGGUCUCUGGACAGUUCCUGACGCUGAGGCACGAAGGUCAGGGGAGCAAACGGG